AUUGAACGCUGGCGGCAUGCUUUACACAUGCAAGUCGAGCGGCAGCGCGGGGGCAACCCUGGCGGCGAGCGGCGGACGGGUGAGUAAUGCAUCGGAACGUAUCCCGUAGUGGGGGACAACCCGGCGAAAGUUGGGCUAAUACCGCAUACGCUCUACGGAGGAAAGUGGGGGACUUCGCAAGGAGCCUCACGCUAGGGGCGCGGCCGAUGUCCGAUUAGCUAGUUGGUGGGGUAANGGCUCACCAAGGCGACGAUCGGUAGCUGGUCUGAGAGGAUGAUCAGCCACACUGGGACUGAGACACGGCCCAGACUCCUACGGGAGGCAGCAGUGGGGAAUUUUGGACAAUGGGGGCAACCCUGAUCCAGCCAUGCCGCGUGCGGGAAGAAGGCCU
rnacentral:rRNA from 1 species